rnacentral:rRNA from 1 species
UACGGAGGGGGCAAGCGUUACUCGGAAUUAUUGGGCGUAAAGGGCGCGUAGGCGGUCGUGUGCGUCGAGGGUGAAAUCCCCGGGCUUAACCCGGGAGCUGCCUUCGAUACGGCACGGCUUGAGUCCGGGAGAGGGGAGCAGAAUUCCCAGUGUAGCGGUGAAAUGCGUAGAUAUUGGGAGGAAUACCGGUGGCGAAAGCGACUCUCUGGACGGCAACUGACGCUGAGGCACGAAAGCGUGGGGAGCAAACAGG